GGGGAUGUAGCUCAGAUGAUAGAGCGCUCGCUUAGCAUGCGAGCGGCACGGGGAUCGAUACCCCGCAUCUCCA
rfam:Triticum urartu cultivar G1812 contig401286, whole genome shotgun sequence.